rnacentral:rRNA from 1 species
ACGCUGGCGGAAUGCUUUACACAUGCAAGUCGAACGGCAGCAUAGAGAGCUUGCUCUCUGAUGGCGAGUGGCGAACGGGUGAGUAAUAUAUCGGAACGUGCCUAGUAAUGGGGAAUAACUAGCUGAAAGGUUAGCUAAUGCCGCAUACGACCUACGGGUGAAAGCAGGGGAUCUUCGGACCUUGCGUUAUUAGAGCGGCCGAUAUCUGAUUAGCUUGUUGGUGGGGUAAUGGCCUACCAAGGCGACGAUCAGUAGCUGGUCUGAGAGGACGAUCAGCCACACUGGAACUGAGACACGGUCCAGACUCCUACGGGAGGCAGCAGUGGGGAAUUUUGGACAAUGGGGGCAACCCUGAUCCAGCCAUUCCGCGUGAGUGAAGAAGGCCUUCGGGUUGUAAAGCUCUUUCGCAAGAGAAGAAAACUUGCUAUCUAAUAAAUAGUAAGUAUGACGGUAUCUUGACAAGAAGCACCGGCUAACUACGUGCCAGCAGCCGCGGUAAUACGUAGGGUGCAAGCGUUAAUCGGAAUUACUGGGCGUAAAGCGUGCGCAGGCAGUUUUAUAAGUCAGAUGUGAAAUCCCCGAGCUCAACUUGGGAACUGCGUUUGAAACUAUAAGACUAGAGUGUGUCAGAGGGGGGUAGAAUUCCAAGUGUAGCAGUGAAAUGCGUAGAGAUUUGGAGGAAUACCAAUGGCGAAGGCAGCCCCCUGGGAUAACACUGACGCUCAUGCACGAAAGCGUGGGGAGCAAACAGGAUUAGAUACCCUGGUAGUCCACGCCCUAAACGAUGUCUACUAGUUGUUGGUGGAGUAAAAUCCAUGAGUAACGCAGCUAACGCGUGAAGUAGACCGCCUGGGGAGUACGGUCGCAAGAUUAAACUC